GCCACGUAUGUCUAAAAAGUUCAUUUGAUUCAUACAACAAAUAAUUUAUUGAACAAUUACUCUGUCAGAUUCUGGACUGGGCACUGGGGAUAGCAGAAAAGUGAGAGUCCCUGCCCGCAAGGAGCUUACAGUCUAGCAUAAGAACUUAACAAUACCUCAGAGCCGAGUGAGAAGACUUUCCAGUAUCUAGGAUAUUAUCCAGAACAUUCUCAACUUUCCUAAAAAUAGGAGUCUAAAAUUUACCAGAAAGCACAUUUUAGAAAUGGAAGAUGCAGUGAAAUUUAAAAGAAAAUCAAAUUUCCAAACUGUAACGUAGACACCAUGAAACUGAAAUAAGAAACUUAGGAAAGCUGAAGAUUCUAUUUUAAAUAGUAUAAACAAGAUUUAAAUUUUAAAAUGAUUUUAUUGUCUCUGGGUGACAUUUUCAUUUAUAGUGACAUUCAUAUACACAUACAUACACGAGGUGUGCAUAUGUGAGAUGUGUUCCUUGGAGCUUUUGAUAAAACCUAUAUUUCCAUUCAUUUACAACUAAAGCAGCAGCAUACAGGUAAAUUUGAGACUUUCCUUUUGAUAAUUUCUAUUGUCAUUUGAAUGGGAGAAAUUCUGAGGAAUCUUUAGGGUAUAAAUUUUGGUACAAACUAAAACUCUCUGUAACAAUGUGUGAUAAUUUAAACAUGUAUUUUAAUGGCUAUUGACCAAGUUUAAUGGCAUCAAAAAUACUCAAGUCUAUCUGGAUUUAAUUUUCAUUGUUCCCCUUCCCUCCACUGAUUCUCCUUAUUUUUUUAAAGCAUGAACGAUCCACGUGCAAAUACAGAGCCUUUGUUGUUACUUGGCUAUACUUUGGUGCGUUGCUGUUUAUUCCUUAAUGUAGCAGCAUCCUUAGUCUGUAGUAUUUUACUUGGUGGCAACUGAAAAAAUCACUAGCCUAGGCCUUACCUGGGUACUUCUAUUAUCCAGAAGGUUAUUGUGAACCGGUCAGAAAGCUGGUGAGCAACCAAAAGAGCGGUCUCAAAGACUGUGCACAUGGGGCUCGUGUAGCUCUUUAGACACCGAGCGGGCUUGGUUAUUGCUUGUCCCAGCUUGUAACAGAUGAACACAGCACAUAUGACAAAGAGCCUGUUAGAGGCAGGCAGGUGGAUACUGUGGUAGGAGACAGAACAAACUA
rnacentral:lncRNA from 1 species